rnacentral:misc_RNA from 1 species
GCAUCUUGAAUUAUUCUUCCUCCUCCUCAUCAUGGGCUUCAUAGAUCCAUCUUGAGACGUUGAGAAAUUGAAACUUUGGAAAUUAUGCCUGUUAAAGAUCUGAUCAGUGGGGUGAGGUCUCUGCAUGAAGUCAUCCACUGGUACUGGUAGCUGGAACUGAGCUUCAACACCAUGACCAGCUGCUCUCAUCUCCGAACAACUGAGACUGGUCAUAGACUUCGGCAUAAGUUUAAAAGCCAAAGAACAG